AUUGAACGCUGGCGGCAUGCCUUACACAUGCAAGUCGAACGGUAACAGCACUUCGGUGGCUGACGAGUGGCGAACGGGUGAGUAAUACAUCGGAACGUGCCCGAGAGUGGGGGAUAACGCAGCGAAAGCUGUGCUAAUACCGCAUACGAUCUACGGAUGAAAGCAGGGGACCGCAAGGCCUUGCGCUCAUGGAGCGGCCGAUGGCAGAUUAGGUAGUUGGUGGGAUAAAAGACUUACCAAGCCGACGAUCUGUAGCUGGUCUGAGAGGACGACCAGCCACACUGGGACUGAGACACGGCCCAGACUCCUACGGGAGGCAGCAGUGGGGAAUUUUGGACAAUGGGGAGACCCUGACCCAGCGACGCCGCGUGAGGGACGAAGGCCCUUGGGUCGUAAACCUCUUUUGCAGGGGAAGAAGAAGAUGACGGUACCUUGCGAACAAGUCCCGGCUAACUACGUG
rnacentral:rRNA from 1 species